rnacentral:rRNA from 1 species
AACAGGAUUUGAUACCCUGGUAGUCCACGCCGUAAACGAUGUCGACUUGGAGGUUGUGCCCUUGAGGCGUGGCUUCCGGAGCUAACGCGUUAAGUCGACCGCCUGGGGAGUACGGCCGCAAGGUUAAAACUCAAAUGAAUUGACGGGGGCCCGCACAAGCGGUGGAGCAUGUGGUUUAAUUCGAUGCAACGCGAAGAACCUUACCUACUCUUGACAUCCAGAGAACUUAGCAGAGAUGCUUUGGUGCCUCCGGGAACUCUGAGACAGGUGCUGCAUGGCUGUCGUCAGCUCGUGUUGCGAAAUGUUGGGUUAAGUCCCGCAACGAGCGCAACCCUUAUCCUUUGUUGCCAGCGGUUAGGCCGGGAACUCAAAGGAGACUGCCAGUGAUAAACUGGAGGAAGGUGGGGAUGACGUCAAGUCAUCAUGGCCCUUACGAGUAGGGCUACACACGUGCUACAAUGGCGCAUACAAAGAGAAGCGACCUCGCGAGAGCAAGCGGACCUCAUAAAGUGCGUCGUAGUCCGGAUUGGAGUCUGCAACUCGACUCCAUGAAGUCGGAAUCGCUAGUAAUCGUGGAUCAGAAUGCCACGGUGAAUACGUUCCCGGGCCUUGUACACACCGCCCGUCACACCAUGGGAGUGGGUUGCAAAAGAAGUAGGUAGCUUAACCUUCGGGAGGGCGCUUACCACUUUGUGAUUCAUGACUGGGGUGAAGUCGUAACAAGGUAACC